CCGCGUGUGUGAAGAAGGCCUUAUGGUUGUAAAGCACUUUAAGCGAGGAGGAGGCUUACCUAGAUAAUACCUAGGAUAAGUGGACGUUACUCGCAGAAUAAGCACCGGCUAACUCUGUGCCAGCAGCCGCGGUAAUACAGAGGGUGCAAGCGUUAAUCGGAAUUACUGGGCGUAAAGCGCGCGUAGGUGGCCAUUUAAGUCAAAUGUGAAAUCCCCGAGCUUAACUUGGGAAUUGCAUUCGAUACUGGGUGGCUAGAGUAUAGGAGAGGAAGGUAGAAUUCCAGGUGUAGCGGUGAAAUGCGUAGAGAUCUGGAGGAAUACCGAUGGCGAAGGCAGCCUUCUGGCCUAAUACUGACACUGAGGUGCGAAAGCAUGGGGAGCAAACAGGAUUAGAU
rnacentral:rRNA from 1 species